GGGGCCUGUGUCCGGGAGCAUAACACUGAAUUUCCUUUAAAAUGAAUGUAGAAAUGGCAGAGAGGUUUGAAGAUAUAACAAAGGAGAAAUUACAAAAUUUGAAGCUUCAAUCUUGUUGGCAAUUAGCACGAAGCUUGGGCAUAAAAUACGACAGGCAUUUCACUGCCCAGACAGUCAGAUGUAUGAUACAGAAUGUCCUUUUUCCAGAUGAGCAGGAUCCAGAGACUGAGAAUGGAGAAGCAGAUAUUCCUUCCUUUUUGAAUUCUUUUCUACAGACGCCCGAGGCCGAAACUACGACGCUAACAACCCCUACUGGAGACGACGGACAUGAACUUCCUGAUACUCGGAAACGCUACGCUGCUACAACGACUCCAAUUCCAUCUCCAAGGACUAUAUGGGGAACAGAACUCAAUCACACUAAAGAAACGGAUCCAGGCCUCCUCUAGCAGACCGUCUAAUAGAUGACUUUACCACGACAGUGCUUCAGAAGAAAAGGUCCGAGUAGCUAUGGAACCCUACUUUUCCCAGGGGAAGUUCGGACUCUGUAAAGAGAGUCAAGCAGUUUCUGGACCAGUUCUAGCAAGUGGAUGACUAACCUUGGAAUGAUGUACCUCCAUCCCUAUACCAGCUGGUUGGUUUCUUCUACUCCAUCAGCAUCUUAAACGCCGAGAUAUUUGCUUGUGGGCCGGGGUGUCAUGCCCCUAUGGUUAACCUUCCUUUAAUAUUACAUUGCGGUCAUUUCCUUUAAUAGCUAAAUUGGAAAUGAACGUCCUUGUAUUAUUAAGAUUAAUUCUUAUUAACAAUUAUAAUUUAUGUAACAUGGCCAUGAUAAGUUUAAUUGGAGCUAUAGUAACCUGCCUGCCGCCCGGUGUGCCGGUGUGUAGUUAGCCGUGAUGUUCGAUGGUUAUACCCCCCCCUUCCCCCCCCUUUAUGUUCAACUACUCUACUGAGUGUUGGUGAGUCACGUCACGUGACCCACUUUACCUGUAUGCUCAAGGUUGAGGGACGAGCAGUGAAGAAGUAGCAGCCAACGAGAACACUCCUGCUCGUCUCUGGUAACUGGCCAAGAUUUAUUAGCCGGCCUGGACAUAUUCUGUUUUAUUCUGAC